rnacentral:misc_RNA from 1 species
GAUCUGGCCACACCCUGGUCGCAAAUCCUUACAUCGGUUCCGGUGUGGGCCCUGUUGAUAGCGGAAGUCGGCCAUGACUGGGGUUUGUACACCAUGGUCACAGAUCUACCCAAAUAUAUGAGUGACGUCAUGCAUUUCAACUUUGCUGAGAAUGGAAUUCUAUCAGCUAUACCCUACUUGGUGAUGUGGUUCGUCUCUAUCUGCUCUGGUGUGAUAGCUGAUUGGGUAUUGGCUAAUAGAUUAAUGGGCGUGACUACUCUCCGGAAAGUGCUAGCCACUAUUGGUGGUGUGGGCCCGGCAGUAGGGGUAGUGCUAGCUUCGUACGCAGGGUGUGACAAAACCCUAGUCUCAGUUCUGUUUGCGGUUGGAAUGGGAUUGAUGGGCUUCUUCUACGCCAGUCUGCGGGUCAACGCCCUCGAUUUGAGUCCCAACUUCUCGGGAACCAUAAUGGCGCUGGUGAACGGGUCGGGCGCUCUGUCCGGAAUGGUCACGCCGACCUUGGUUGGCCUGCUUACUGAAAAUAAAACCCUGGGAGAAUGGCGUGUAGUAUUCUGGAUCAUGGCGCUGGUGCUGAUUGUCACAAACUUCGUGUUCGUCUUUUUCGGUUCGGGCGAACUUCAACCCUGGAACGAACCCAAGCCAAAACCAGACGCCGAAGCAAACAAUGAUCCAACCACGCAUGCGCGUGACACAAGAAACGGCACGUUCAGCAAUAAUGCUCAUCUGGAAACAGGAACAACUAAAAACGGAAUCAGCGAAACUAACGGAAUGAGGAACUAACAAACAAGGGCUUUUGAAAUUCGGUCGAAUGACUUCAUCUAUGUAUAGUGAGACUUACUUUAAACUGCCAGCUUUGGGUGGAUGGGAAGGAUGGAAUUCACUUCAUCAAGAUGUCAGUUGAUCAAUAGAUAGGGAGAUGUCCACUUCAUGAAGAUCUCAGUUGAUCAAUGUGAAGGGUGACGUCUACUUCAUCAAGAUGUCAGUUGAUCAAUGUGAAGGGUGACGUCCACUUCAUCAAGAUGUCAGUUGAUCAAUGUGAAGGGUGACGUCCACUUCAUCAAGAUGUCAGUUGAUCAAUGUGAAGGGUGACGUCCACUUCAUCAAGAUGUCAGUUGAUCAAUGUGAAGGUUGACGUCCACUUCAUCAAGAUGUCAGUUGAUCAAUGUGAGGGUUGACAUCCACUUUGCCAAGAUCUCAGUUGAUCAAUGGAAGGGUGACAUCCACUCCACCAAGAUCUCAGUUGAUCAAUGGGAAGGUUGACAUCCACUUUGCCAAGAUCUCAGUUGAUCAAUGGGAAGGUUGACAUCCACUCCACCAAGAUCUCAGUUGCUCAAGAUCAGCCUGGGUUUUCCAUUUCAUACUUCCAUCAUUGACUGAAUGGGAAUGGUGACAUUCACUUCAUCAAGAUGUCAGUUGAUCUACAAUCAGCCCGGGUAUUGACAACUUCAAUAGGUCCAGUGUUCAGUUUGUCAAGUUCAAGUUACUUUCAGAAAGUCCACUGACAGUUUAAAGUGGGUCUCACUGUAUAGAUGACGUCAUUUGAAACGCUCCAUCAAGUUUUUCUCAACUUGUGAGAAGUUAUUAAUUUUGUAAAUAAUACUGUGAACUAAGAAAGUCGAAUUCCUAUUAGUAAUGAUGCACCUAGAUUCUCUUAGGUGUGAUACUUAUAAACGUGAAUAAUUAUAAUAAUUAGUCAUUGCAAGUCUGUGAUUGUACUUAGCGAGUAAUUAGAAAAAUGUAUUGUAAAAAAUAUAUUAAAAAUGUUGAAACCCUCAAAAUAUGAUGUGAAUGUUAAUACUAUAAUGUUACAAAUAAUAUUAUUUUGUAAUAUUAAAAUAAUAUUGAAUUCAGACUGUCAGCAUGGGAAGCAUUUAUGAGCAAUCAUAUUUCAAUGUUGUUGAAAAAAUAUUAUAAUUAUAAAUCCAUUAAUGCUGACAGUUUGAAAUGAUGGAAUUUUCUGAAUGUGAUGGAAAAAUUUGAUUGCACAAUACGGUAUUGUGUAACUAGUUUGUUGAAGAGCUCUUGAAAGAGAGAAUAUUAUAAUAUUUUUGUCGAGUAGAUUUUUGAGAGCUGGUAGUUAAGAUAAGAUUGAUAAUGUAAGUUGUUAAGUGUCAUUGUUGUCUGACCAGAGAGUAUAAUAUGUUAUUGAAUAAAAUUAUUUUCAUUGAAAA